rnacentral:rRNA from 1 species
UGGGGAAUAUUGCACAAUGGAGGAAACUCUGAUGCAGCGAUGCCCCGUGAGGGAAGAAGGUUUUAGGAUUGUAAACCUCUGUCUUCCGGGACGAAAAAAGACGGUACCUGAGGAGGAAGCUCCGGCUAACUACGUGCCAGCAGCCGCGGUAAUACGUAGGGAGCGAGCGUUGUCCGGAAUUACUGGGUGUAAAGGGAGCGUAGGCGGGAUCGCAAGUCAGAUGUGAAAACUAUGGGCUUAACCCAUAAACUGCAUUUGAAACUGUGGUUCUUGAGUGAAGUAGAGGUAAGCGGAAUUCCUAGUGUAGCGGUGAAAUGCGUAGAUAUAAGGAAGAACACCAGUGGCGAAGGCGGAUUACUGGACGGUAACUGACGGUGAGGCGCGAAAGCGUGGGGAGCAAACAGGAUUAGAUACCCUGGUAGUCCACGCCGUAAACGAUGAUUACUAGGUGUGGGGGGACUGACCCCUUCCGUGCCGCAGCAAACGCAAUAAGUAAUCCACCUGGGGAGUACGACCGCAAGGUUGAAACUCAAAGGAAUUGACGGGGGCCCGCACAAGCAGUGGAGUAUGUGGAUUAAUUCGAAGCAACGCGAAGAACCUUACCAGGUCUUGACAUCGUAUGCAUAGCUCAGAGAUGAGUGAAAUCUCUUCGGAGACAUAUAGACAGGUGGUGCAUGGUUGUCGUCAGCUCGUGUCGUGAGAUGUUGGGUUAAGUCCCGCAACGAGCGCAACCCUUACUGUUAGUUGCUACGCAAGAGCACUCUAGCAGGACUGCCGUUGACAAAACGGAGGAAGGUGGGGAUGACGUCAAAUCAUCAUGCCCUUUAUGACUUGGGCUACACACGUACUACAAUGGCGUUAAACAAAGAGAAGCAAGACCGCGAGGUGGAGCAAAACUCAGAAACAACGUCCCAGUUCGGACUGCAGGCUGCAACUCGCCUGCACGAAGUCGGAAUUGCUAGUAAUCGUGGAUCAGCAUGCCACGGUGAAUACGUUCCC